GGCGGGUAGGCAGAGCCUGGGGGCUCGUCGGCUGUGGAAGGAGAGAGCGGGGGAUGGCAGGGCUCUCCCCAGGCCGCACAGACACUAGCCAUGGGUGCCCCGUCUGGGACAGGCCUUCCUGGGACUGGCACCCCAGCCUGGAGAAGCUCUCCCCGGUCCUCUGGCCAUGCCCUGCUCAAGGAGGAAGGAGGUUUGUGUGUGCAUGUGCAGGGGGCCCGGGAGACCCCUGCACCCACGUUCCUGGCAGGCCUGGGGGCAGGCUGUUGGCGGGGGGGCUGGCCCCCUGCAUCUCCUCGCUGCCUCACACUUCGUACCAGCACUUUAUGUUCUGCCGGUUCUUAACGUUUUUUUCUUUAAAUAUAUUUCUGGAAAAGCUGUAUUUUCACUCUUGUCCUGCCAGGUUUGUGUGCACCCCUUCAGGCAGUAAAAUCUCACAUGAAGUCAUCCUCAGCAGCUCAUAAUCAAAACGCUGGGUGUUCAGAUAACAAAGCGAUGAAGAAAACCAGGCCUGAGCGCUCUGGACAACGUGGAAAUGGCCAGUACAGGUGGGAUCCACGUUCUCCUUUGGCUCGGGGCUCCGUUUUACGAACGGCUGACGGCUGAACAUCGCGGCAGACGUAACGAGGGCUGUGAGCCUCUCCGUGGGCCAGGAGGCCACCUAGAGUCCUUGCCCAGCCCUGGGCCCUGCUGUCCAAACGCGUCCCCUCUCCCGCUCACACCCCUACUGCACCAACAGGAUGGAACACUUACUACUGGGGGAGUUUUACUCACUCAUCCACGCGCAUGACGGCUUUGGAAGCCAGGCUGUGGACGAAGAAGACACGGCCCCCGCCCGCCCCCCGCAGAGCAGCCAUUGUGAAGAACGGUGUGCUAUGAACAUUCGUGCACAGGAUCUGUUCACUUCCCUGCUUUCAACUCCCUCCUCACUGUGGUACAACAGAGUCUUCCCAUGUUUAUGGGGAAGGGCACCCAGGGCUGCGGUGCCCUUCUCAGCGCAGUGUCAGGAGUGUGUGAUGUCUUACUGCAGCUGACAUCCACCUUCCUCACCUGCCUAAGGUUGAGUCUACCAGAAUCCUCCACUGUAAACUCCCCAUUUCCCCCUUUAUAAUUGCUGAAUAUUUGGUGAGGGGUAGUUUAAGGCUAUGCAAAUAUCCUGUUUAUGCUUAAACUUCCAAAGGGCUCUGUUUUGAACCUGCCAGGUUGGAGAUGUUGAAUGAUGGGCUAGGGCAGAGGUCACAAGGCUACUGAUGCCAGAGGCAGGGAGGGCCGGCUGCGGGCCGAGGUUGGGGGAGCAUCCCUGGCUGGGUUUACGGUCACAGGCCUGGGCGGGUUGCCUGGGGGGAGAAUGAAGGAGAGGGGCUGAGAAGGAGCCCCAGGGAUGACCAUGUGCUGAGGGCCGAGAGGACAGCGUAGCCUCAGCGGCCGAGACCCUGGAAUCCGUCCUUAGUUCUUCAAGAUGACAGGCCUGCAGUUUCUCCCCCCAGCCCUGCACCUCUGCCCGCCUCCCUCCCUCCCACCCUCCAACUCAGAUGCUGCAUCUUCCGGGACCACUCCAGGUGCCCGGUGGGAUGGGACUACUCCCUUCCCUUGGCCCAGACUCCUCAGGACUUUGGUUGUGCCCUUGGGACAGCUCAGAGGCCAGGUAUCGCUCGGCGUGAACUUGGACCUCGGAUGCAGGUCCCGUGUCUGAUCUUCCACAGUCCUGAUGCCCCCACCACUUCUGCACACAGGACACCUCGUGAAGUUUAAAGCCAAAGGUUUCACACACGUGCACACAGAGAACACACGCUGUCCGACGGAAGAUGUAACUCCCAGAGGAGCCAGCACUGGGGUGUUGAGUCCCCUGCUCCGAACCAGGUGCGACCACGGUCACAGCUCCCAGGGCACCGGGGCUGGGGCUGGUGGACCUGAGCCUGGUGUGUGCACGGGCACAGCAUGACGACCCCAGGCUCAGGGCAGCUGCACCGCGGCACCUGGGCCUGUGCGCCUGCAGGCUGUGAGGGUGGCUUUUUGCUUCCCAUGUCUCAAAUGUGAACCUGGACCUGUCCAAGUCUCAGGCAUACGAAAUCACCGUUUGGGAAGGUAGAAUCUUCGGUGUUUCGGGCUAGGAGUGCGAAGUUGCCCUGCUCCAUCCUGGCUCUGAGACUCAACGCUCCAUAACCGGGAGCAGGGACCUUCCCUCUCGGGGCCUCGCUUUCCUCGUCUGCAAAACGACCGAGAUGACACAGGCGACCCAGAGUCCAGAGCGCCAUGCUCUCACCCUGGUGACAACACUCAGCAGCUGGUGAGGGUGGGGGCAAUGGGACCCUCCUCCACUCCGUGGGAUGACGACCCAGCAUCAUCUUUCUUGGAAGCAAUAAGGCAGGACUUAAACUACAUGUUCCCUCUGACCCAGCCAUUCCAUUUCUGGAAAUUUACUGUAUUUUAUUUUUAUUUCUUUUACUUUUUGGCUAUGGCACGCAGCAUGUGGGAUCUCAACUCCCUGACCGGGGACCAAACCCAUGCCCCCUGCAGUGGACGCGCAGAGUCUUAACUGCUGGACGGCCAGGGAAGUCCCUGGGAAUUUAUUUUAAAGUAAUAAUCAAACAAGUAUACAGAAAUAUAUGUUUGUGGUGAAAUCCAGACCAAGUCUGGAGUUUAGUUAACAAUGUAUGUACCAAAUUCGGUUUUUUGGUUGUGACAAGUGGACCGUGGAAUGUAAGAUCCUAUCAAGAGAGGAACCUGGGUGGAGAGAGGACAGGAAGCCUCUGUGCCAUCUCGGUAACUUUUCUGUGCCUGUGAAAUUAUUCCAACAUGAAAAGUUUAUUUAUUUAUUUAUUUUUGGCUGCCCUGGGUCUUUGUUGCGGUGC